UACGUAGGGUGCGAGCGUUAAUCGGAAUUACUGGGCGUAAAGUGUGCGCAGGCGGCCGAGCAAGUCGAGUGUGAAAGCCCCGAGCUUAACUUGGGAACUGCGCUCGAAACUACUUGGCUAGAGUGUGGCAGAGGGAGGUGGAAUUCCACGUGUAGCGGUGAAAUGCGUAGAGAUGUGGAGGAACACCGAUGGCGAAGGCAGCCUCCAGGGCCAACACUGACGCUCAUGCACGAAAGCGUGGGGAGCAAACAGG
rnacentral:rRNA from 1 species